rnacentral:rRNA from 1 species
CCUACGGGAGGCAGCAGUGAGGAAUAUUGGUCAAUGGGCGGAAGCCUGAACCAGCCAAGUAGCGUGCAGGAUGACGGCCCUACGGGUUGUAAACUGCUUUUAUACGGGAAUAACGCGCCUUACGUGUAGGGCUUUGCAUGUACCGUAUGAAUAAGGACCGGCUAAUUCCGUGCCAGCAGCCGCGGUAAUACGUAGGAUGCGAGCGUUAUCCGGAUUUAUUGGGUUUAAAGGGUGCGUAGGCGGUCUGUUAAGUCAGCGGUAAAAUUGCGGGGCUCAACCCCGUCGAGCCGUUGAAACUGGCAGACUUGAGUGGGCGAGAGGCACGCGGAAUGCGGGGUGUAGCGGUGAAAUGCAUAGAUAUCGCGCAGAACCCCGAUUGCGAAGGCAGCGUACCGGCGCCAGACUGACGCUGAGGCACGAAAGCGUGGGGAUCGAACAGGAUUAGAUACCCCAGUAGUC